rnacentral:rRNA from 1 species
GAUGAACGCUGGCGGCGUGCCUAAUACAUGCAAGUCGAGCGCUGAAGGUUGGUACUUGUACCCAUUGGAUGAGCAGCGAACGGGUGAGUAACGCGUGGGGAACCUGCCUUUGAGCGGGGGACAACAUAUGGAAACGAAUGCUAAUACCGCAUAAAAACUUUAAACACAAGUUUUAAGUUUGAAAGAUGCAAUUGCAUCACUCAAAGAUGAUCCCGCGUUGGAUUAGCUAGUUGGUGAGGAAAAGGCCCACCAAGGCGAUGAUACAUAGCCGGCUUGAGAAGGUGCACCGCCCAAAUGGGAAUGGAGCACGGGCCAACACCCUGCGGGAGGGAGCAGGAGGGGAUCUUUGGCAAAGGAAGGAAGGCUGAACGAAGCACGCCGCGGGAGUGGAGGAGGGUUUCAGGUCGGAAAACUCUGUUGGUAGAGAAGAACGUUGAGGAGAGUGAAAAGCUCAUCAAGUGACGGUACCUACCCAGAAAGGGACGGCUAACUACGUG